CCGGGCGAACUGACCGCUCGUCAGCUCGCCGCGGAUGCUUUACCAUGGGCGCUUCGCGCCGGAUCAGCUCCGGCGU
rfam:Pseudomonas aeruginosa PAO1, complete genome.